UACGGAGGGAGCUAGCGUUGUUCGGAAAUACUGGGCGUAAAGCGCACGUAGGCGGCGCAGCAAGUCAGGGGUGAAAUCCCGGGGCUCAACCCCCGGAACUGCCCUUGAAACUGCAGUGCUAGAAUCUUGGAGAGGCGAGUGGAAUUCCGAGUGUAGAGGUGAAAUUCGUAGAUAUUCGGAAGAACACCAGUGGCGAAGGCGACUCGCUGGACAAGUAUUGACGCUGAGGUGCGAAAGCGUGGGGAGCAAACAGGG
rnacentral:rRNA from 1 species